CCUACGGGAGGCAGCAGUGAGGAAUAUUGGUCAAUGGACGAGAGUCUGAACCAGCCAAGUAGCGUGAAGGAUGACUGCCCUAUGGGUUGUAAACUUCUUUUAUAUGGGAAUAAAAUGUUCCACGUGUGGGAUUUUGUAUGUACCAUAUGAAUAAGGAUCGGCUAACUCCGUGCCAGCAGCCGCGGUAAUACGGAGGAGCCGGGCGUUAUCCGGAUUUAUUGGGUUUAAAGGGAGCGUAGGUGGAUUGUUAAGUCAGUUGUGAAAGUUUGCGGCUCAACCGGAAAAUUGCAGUUGAAACUGGCAGUCUUGAGUACAGUAGAGGUGGGCGGAAUUCGUGGUGUAGCGGUGAAAUGCUGAGAUAUCACGAAGAACUCCGAUUGCGAAGGCAGUUCACUGGACUGCAACUGACACUGAGGCUCGAAAGUGCGGGUAUCAAACAGGAUUAGAUACCCUAGUAGUC
rnacentral:rRNA from 1 species